rnacentral:tRNA from 1 species
CGGGGAGGAGUCUGUCGGUAGGACGCACGCUUCGGGUGCGUGAAGAUCGGGUUCAAUUCCCGGCUCCCCGA